CGAGUUUGAAUAGUAACUUCUCAUGCCUAUAAGAAGGGAGGUAACUUGUUUCUAGUUUUUCACUUCAUUAUCUUCUCAAAGUUUAAGAGUGGAAAGGUCCUUUCAAUUUUCACUCUCUGGCAUUGAGAUUUUUCCUUUCCCUCCCUGUUGAGAAUGUCUCAAGGGAUUUCGGGAAACGCUCGGCCUACUAUCUUCAAUUGCG
rnacentral:lncRNA from 1 species